CAGAACUCGUGCUCUACUGACAAUUGUGGUAUCGCUGAAAAUUUAAGCGGGGACUCAAGUAGCUAUAAUGGAGCGUGCCUUAUGGCUUACGGUGGUAGCUCAUCUACAAUCCAGCAAAACCAUGACGUCUCAUCUUCAUCUCUAAUUUCUUCACGCGCAUGUAAUGAAUCUCGGGUCAUAGAUGAGCCAUUCGGUCAAUCUAGUGCAGGUUAUCAGAACCAGUUCUCAUACAAUAUUAAUAACUCCGCAACUUCAAAUGGGAACUCAGGUGGCUACAGUGAAGCUUACCUUACGACUUAUGAUGUUAGCUCAUCUACAUGCCAGCAAAACCAGGACAUCUCAUCAUUACCUAUAGUUCCUUCAUGCGUACUUGAUAAGUCUCAGGUCCAAGAUAGUUCAGGCAGUCAAUCUGGUAGAGGUUAUCAGAACCAGUCCUCAUACAAUGGUAAUAACUCUGCAACUUCAAGUAGGAACUCAAGUCCGAACUCAAGUAGCUACAUUGAAGCUCCCCUCAUGACUUUCGAGGAUAUCUCAUCUACAUCCCAGCAAAACCAUGACAUCUUAUCAUUACCUCUGAUUUCUU
rnacentral:lncRNA from 1 species